rnacentral:rRNA from 1 species
AUUGAACGCUGGCGGCAUGCCUUACACAUGCAAGUCGAACGGCAGCAUGGAGAGCUUGCUCUCUGAUGGCGAGUGGCGAACGGGUGAGUAAUGCAUCGGAACGUACCGUGAAUGGGGGAUAACGUAGCGAAAGUUACGCUAAUACCGCAUACGACCUGAGGGUGAAAGCAGGGGAUCGCAAGACCUUGCGUUAUACGAGCGGCCGAUGGCAGAUUAGCUAGUUGGUGGGGUAAAGGCUCACCAAGGCGACGAUCUGUUGCGGGUCUGAGAGGAUGAUCCGCCACACUGGGACUGAGACACGGCCCAGACUCCUACGGGAGGCAGCAGUGGGGAAUUUUGGACAAUGGGGGCAACCCUGAUCCAGCCAUGCCGCGUGAGUGAAGAAGGCCUUCGGGUUGUAAAGCUCUUUCGGCCGGGAAGAAAUCGCACAGGCUAAUACUCUGUGUGGAUGACGGUACCGGCAUAAGAAGCACCGGCUAACUACGUGCCAGCCGCCGCCGUAA